ensembl:snRNA U6 U6 spliceosomal RNA
GUGCUUGCUUCAGCAGCACAUAUACUAAAACUGAACGAUACAGAGAAGAUUAGCAUGACUCCUGUGCAGGAAUAACACCCAAACUCAUGAAGUAUUCCGUAUUUUA